GACGAACGCUGGCGGCGUGCUUAACACAUGCAAGUCGAACGAUGAUCAGGAGCUUGCUCCUGUGAUUAGUGGCGAACGGGUGAGUAACACGUGAGUAACCUGCCCCUGACUCUGGGAUAAGCGUUGGAAACGACGUCUAAUACUGGAUACGACUGCCGGCCGCAUGGUCUGGUGGUGGAAAGAUUUUUUGGUUGGGGAUGGACUCGCGGCCUAUCAGCUUGUUGGUGAGGUAAUGGCUCACCGAGGCGACGACGGGUAGCCGGCCUGAGAGGGUGACCGGCCACACUGGGACUGAGACGCGGCCCAGACUCCUACGGGAGGCAGCAGUGGGGAAUAUUGCACAAUGGGCGAAAGCCUGAUGCAGCAACGCCGCGUGAGGGAUGACGGCCUUCGGGUUGUAAACCUCUUUUAGUAGGGAAGAAGCGAAAGUGACGGUACCUGCAGAAAAAGCACCGGCUAACUACGUGCCAGCAGCCGCCGUAA
rnacentral:rRNA from 1 species